rnacentral:rRNA from 1 species
AACGAACGCUGGCGGCAUGCCUAACACAUGCAAGUCGAACGAGACCUUCGGGUCUAGUGGCGCACGGGUGCGUAGCGCGUGGGAACCUGCCCUUAGGUUCGGAAUAACUCCCCGAAAGGGGUGCUAAUACCGGAUAAUGUCUUCGGACCAAAGAUUUAUCGCCUUUGGAUGGGCCCGCGUUGGAUUAGCUAGUUGGUAGGGUAAAAGCCUACCAAGGCGACGAUCCAUAGCUGGUCUGAGAGGAUGAUCAGCCACUCUGGGACUGAGACACGGCCCAGACUCCUACGGGAGGCAGCAGUGGGGAAUAUUGGACAAUGGGCGAAAGCCUGAUCCAGCAAUGCCGCGUGAGUGAUGAAGGCCUUAGGGUUGUAAAGCUCUUUUACCCGGGAUGAUAAUGACAGUACCGGGAGAAUAAGCGCCGGCUAACUCCGUG